rnacentral:lncRNA from 1 species
AAUGAACGUGAGCAUGAAGGAGGUGGUGGAUGAAAGGGUGGGUGAGGGAGGUUGAAAACAAAGUAAGAAAAUAUAGUGUGGACAAACUAUAAUAGGGAGGAUGGACCAUAUUUUGAAAUUUUGUAUGAUGAAAGAGGAAAAAAAAUGGUUCGUUUGAAAGGCAUGAAGGAAGAUCCAUGAUUUGUCUUUCAGGUUCACAGAAGUGCAUCAAAAAGGAUAGAGAAACAAAGCGAAAGAAGAGAUGAAGGGGAAAAAAUAGGUGACGGC